UACGUAGGGGGCGAACGUUGCUCGGAAUUACUGGGCGUAAAGGGUGUGUAGGUGGCUGAGAAAGUCGUGGAUGAAAUCCCGAGGCUCAACCUCGGAAUUGUCCUCGAAACUGUUCAGCUUGAGGAUGGUAGAGGAGAACGGAAUUCCCGGUGGAGCGGUGAAAUGCGUAGAUAUCGGGAGGAACACCAGAGGCGAAGGCGGUUCUCUGGACCAUUCCUGACACUGAGACACGAAAGCUAGGGGAGCGAACGGGAUUAGAUACCCGCGUA
rnacentral:rRNA from 1 species